rnacentral:rRNA from 1 species
GAUGAACGCUAGCGGCAGGCUUAAUACAUGCAAGUCGUGGGGUAGCGCAGUGUAGCAAUACAUGGGCGACGACCGGCAAACGGGUGCGUAACACGUACGCAAUUUACCCACUACAGGGGAAUAGCCCAGGGAAACUUGGAUUAAUACCCCAUAUUAUAAAGGUUUGGCAUCAACUUUAUAUCAAAGCUUCGGCGGUAGUGGAUGAGCGUGCGGUUGAUUAGAUAGUUGGCGGGGUAACGGCACACCAAGUCUACGGUCAAUAGCUGAUGUGAGAGCAUGAUCAGCCAAACGGGCACUGAGACGCGGGCCCGACUCCUACGGGAGGCAGCAGUAAGGAAUAUUGGGCAAUGGACGCAAGUCUGACCCAGCCAUGCCGCGUGAAGGAUGAAGGUCCUCUGGAUUGUAAACUUCUUUUAUCUGGGGCGAAAACAACUCUUUCUAGAGUUCUUGACAGUACCAGAGGAAUAAGCACCGGCUAACUCCGUGCCAGCCGCCGCGGUAAGAC